AGAACGAACGCUGGCGGCAUGCCUAAUACAUGCAAGUCGAACGAACUCUUCGGAGUUAGUGGCGCACGGGUGCGUAACGCGUGGGAAUCUGCCCCUUGGUUCGGAAUAACAGUUGGAAACGACUGCUAAUACCGGAUGAUGACGAAAGUCCAAAGAUUUAUCGCCAAGGGAUGAGCCCGCGUAGGAUUAGCUAGUUGGUGAGGUAAAGGCUCACCAAGGCAACGAUCCUUAGCUGGUCUGAGAGGAUGAUCAGCCACACUGGGACUGAGACACGGCCCAGACUCCUACGGGAGGCAGCAGUAGGGAAUAUUGGACAAUGGGCGAAAGCCUGAUCCAGCAAUGCCGCGUGAGUGAUGAAGGCCUUCGGUUGUAAACUGCUUUUGUACGGAACGAACGGUCCUGGUUAAUACCGUGGGCUAAGUGACGGUACCGUAAGAAUAAGCACCGGCUAACUACGUGCCAGCAGCCGC
rnacentral:rRNA from 1 species